GUAUGAAAUGAUGUUCAUCAUCUUUCGGGACUGACCUCUUAUGGAGACAUUUUUAAACACAACUGAUCAUAC